rnacentral:lncRNA from 1 species
CCAAAUCUCGGCCGCACCUCAUCCAACUCAAAGACCCAGCCACACAUCCUUUGGGCAUCUCCAGUCGCACUUCUAGUUGCGAAAAGCUGGGUAUCAGCCCCAAACAUCCGGCCGUAACAGAUUACUAGCCCGGCCGCAACCCAGUCGUGUUCUCCAGCAAAUCCGAGCGCCCCACUCCAGCAAAUCAUGCCGUCUUCUCGCAACCCAACUCCAUUCGACGUGACCCUCCAAAUCUUCUGCCACGAACAUCUAGGCCCCGGCCGUGAAUCCAUCUCUUCGAGCUCUCACAACCUAGCUCCAUUCGGCCGCAUUCUUCAACCGCAAGCCAUUCCUGCCGCACAGCUCCAACAUUCUAGCCCUCAAGCUCAGGUCGCAAUUCUGCAUUCCAAGUCCAAAUCCGGCCGCAUUCUAGCAAGCCCCAAGAACUCCAAACCUGGCCAUAUUGGGUCUUGGGCUCUGGCCGACUUGGCUCCAAAAAAUUCGAUUACUAAGAUUCAACACCCUAG